rnacentral:rRNA from 1 species
UACGUAGGGUGCAAGCGUUAAUCGGAAUUACUGGGCGUAAAGCGUGCGCAGGCGGUUGUGCAAGACAGAUGUGAAAUCCCCGGGCUUAACCUGGGAAUGGCAUUUGUGACUGCACGGCUAGAGUGUGUCAGAGGGGGGUAGAAUUCCACGUGUAGCAGUGAAAUGCGUAGAUAUGUGGAGGAAUACCGAUGGCGAAGGCAGCCCCCUGGGAUAACACUGACGCUCAUGCACGAAAGCGUGGGGAGCAAACAGG